ensembl:snoRNA LOC120096377 small nucleolar RNA SNORA70
CUGCAGCCAAUUAAACCAGUCAGGUUCCUUUCCUCAUAGGAGCCCAGUGUGCAAGGGCCAUAAACAGCCGCCUCCUGGAGAGUGUGUGCAGCCUGUUGCCUGUGUGGAGUGCUCUGAGGGACCUUGGAGACAGUU